rnacentral:tRNA from 1 species
GCAUUAGUAGCUCAGCGCUAUAGAGCGUCGGUCUUGUAAACCGAAUGCCGAGGGUUAAAGUCCCUCCUACUG